rnacentral:tRNA from 1 species
CCCGAGAGUGUCGCGGUAAAGCGCGUCCUUGGUAAGGACGAGACCCCGGAUUCAAAUUCCGGCCUAGGCU